rnacentral:rRNA from 1 species
GUAAAGCGAGCGCAGGCGGAAUGAUAAGUCUGAUGUGAAAGCCCACGGCUCAACCGUGGAACUGCAUCGGAAACUGUCAUUCUUGAGUGCAGAAGAGGAGAGUGGAACUCCAUGUGUAGCGGUGGAAUGCGUAGAUAUAUGGAAGAACACCAGUGGCGAAGGCGGCUCUCUGGUCUGCAACUGACGCUGAGGCUCGAAAGCAUGGGUAGCGAACAGGAUUAGAUACCCUGGUAGUCCAUGCCGUAAACGAUGAGCGCUAGGUGUUGGGGACUUUCCGGUCCUCAGUGCCGCAGCAAACGCAUUAAGCGCUCCGCCUGGGGAGUACGACCGCAAGGUUGAAACUCAAAGGAAUUGACGGGGGCCCGCACAAGCGGUGGAGCAUGUGGUUUAAUUCGAAGCAACGCGAAGAACCUUACCAGGUCUUGACAUCCUGAGACCGUUAUAGAGAUAUAAUUUUCCCUUCGGGGACUCAGAGACAGGUGGUGCAUGGCUGUCGUCAGCUCGUGUCGUGAGAUGUUGGGUUAAGUCCCGCAACGAGCGCAACCCUUGUCUUUAGUUGCCAGCAUUAAGUUGGGCACUCUAGAGAGACUGCCGGUGACAAACCGGAGGAAGGUGGGGAUGACGUCAAGUCAUCAUGCCCCUUAUGACCUGGGCUACACACGUGCUACAAUGGGCAGUACAACGAGAAGCGAACCUGCGAAGGCAAGCGGAUCUCUUAAAGCUGUUCUCAGUUCGGACUGCAGGCUGCAACUCGCCUGCACGAAGCUGGAAUCGCUA